GUAUGCACCUGUGUAUGUGUAGCGGGGUAAAAGUCGCUUGUCACUGUCACCCCGGUGCCUUUUCACUGCUCCACAAUAAAGUGUGAUAUGUGCUAAACCCGAGUCAGUCAGAAUUAGCUGGGCAGCUUUUGAAGGUUCUACUGUCCCCCCCCCCCCUAUACUGCACUGCUGGUACUGCACGUGGAACGCUGCCACUUUUCUUCAAUCUUUUAGAUACAAUGGAACUUAGAAGCUGCACAGUUAUCAAUAACCUUUAGUUACUGUAAGAAGGUAACCCCGCUGGUUUCUCGGCAUUUCAUCUCACGUGACGGUUCGCUACACUCAUACCUACUGCAAGCCCCAAACUGAGAAGUUCCUUAUACCUCGGGCAUGACAUCUGGCGGGUCCUGCCUACUGAUAUCGUACACCUUGACCAGCGGUCAUUACAGGUUUGGUCAGAAAGAAACGGACUCUACAGAGAAGAUCUUUAUUGAUCGGUUUCCUAAUCGAAUUCUUUAAGCAAACACACCUCUGAUCAGAUUAGACCGCAGUUGCCAUGACGAUAGGUUUCUCCCAAGUAGGGAAGGUCCAUCAACGACAACCAGGUUUCACGUCAGCUUAAAUUCAAACUUGCUGAGGCCCAGCAGUCGCAGACAGAGUCAUAAGGAAACCAUUCUUUCUGACGCAGCACAACGCUGCCGCAGCCCCGCUUCAUGGGUGGUGAUGGGGCCGUGGUUCUUCGGUAGCUGCCCGUUAUUGAACAUCAGCAGAUCGAGAUUCGCCCGAGUUAUUCUUUUCCUCUUGAUAUCAAGUAACCUACAAG